rnacentral:rRNA from 1 species
UACGUAGGUGGCAAGCGUUGUCCGGAUUACUGGGCGUAAAGAGCGCGCAGGCGGUCGUUCAAGUCGCGUGUGAAAGCCCCCCGGCUCAACUGGGGAGGGUCACGCGAUACUGAUCGACUCGAAGGCAGGAGAGGGAAGUGGAAUUCCCGGUGUAGUGGUGAAAUGCGUAGAGAUCGGGAGGAACACCUGUGGCGAAGGCGGCCGACUGGGCCGACCCUGACGCUGAGGCGCGAAGGCGUGGGGAGCGAACGGG